AGUCGAGAAUCUUCCGCAAUGGGCGAAAGCCUGACGGAGCGACACCGCGUGUAGGAUGAAGGCCCUCGGGUUGUAAACUACUGUCACGCUAUAGGAACCGCACUUGCCUAAUAAGUAAGUGUCUGACUAAAGCGAGAGGAAGUACCGGCUAACUCCGUGCCAGCAGCCGCGGUAAUACGGAGGGUACAAACGUUGCUCGGAAUCACUGGGCAUAAAGCGCGCGUAGGCGGUCCACCCAGUCAGAUGUGAAAGCCCUCGGCUCGACCGGGGAACUGCAUUUGAUACUAGUGGGCUUGAGGAUGGUAGGGGUGUGUGGAACUUCAGGUGGAGCGGUGAAAUGCGUAGAUAUCUAUCGGAACGCCAACGGUGAAGACAGACGACUGGGCCUGUUCUGACGCUGAGGUACGAAAGCGUGGGGAGCGAACGGGAUUAGAUACCCCGGUAGUCCACGCCCUAAACGAUGUGCACUAGGUCGAGGUAGCUCUGACGCUUUCUUGGCCGAAGAGAAAUCGUUAAGUGCACCGCCUGGGGAGUACGGUCGCAAGGCUAAAACUCAAAGGAAUUGACGGGGGCUCACACAAGCGGUGGAGCAUGUUGCUUAAUUCGAAGCAACGCGAAGAACCUUUCCAGGGCUUGACAUGCAUGGAUUAACUGUUGGAAACUUCAGCCACACCCUUCGGGGUGGAACAUGCACAGGUGCUGCAUGGCUGUCGUCAGCUCGUGCUGUGAAGUGUCGGGUUAAGUCCCUUAACGAGCGCAACCCUUGUCCUUAGUUACCAGCACAUAAUGGUGGGCACUCUAAGGAGACUGCCGGUGACAAACCGGAGGAAGGUGGGGAUGACGUCAAGUCAUCAUGGCCCUUAUGGCCAGGGCUACACACGUGCUACAAUGGCUAGUACAAAGGGUUGCCAACUCGCGAGAGUGCGCUAAUCCCAUAAAGCUAGUCGUAGUCCGGAUCGGAGUCUGCAACUCGACUCCGUGAAGUCGGAAUCGCUAGUAAUCGCAGAUCAGAAUGCUGCGGUGAAUACGUUCCCGGGCCUUGUACACACCGCCCGUCACACCAUGGGAGUUGGCUGCAAAAGAAGUAGGUAGACUAACCUUCGGGAGGUCGCUUACCACUUUGUGGUCAAUGACUGGGGUG
rnacentral:rRNA from 1 species